GUUUAUGUGCUAAAGUGCUAUAUUAUGUGUUGUUUUCCAGAGAGAGUAAAGAUGAGAGGAACUCGUCGAUCAGCUCGAUUGACUGGAGUCCCACCAGAUAAUGAGAGAACAGCUGCUCGUCCUCCUGCAUUGCCAAGGGCAAGGUCUCAGAGAUCUAGCAGGGAAGGUACGUCAAUAGACCCUAGAAGGUCUGUAGACGAGAGCAGAAGAGGUACAGCAAGAGGAGAAAGAUCAGAGGAAAGGAGGGAGGCUAUGGAGAUUGACCAGUCUAGAGAUGACAGCAUGGGUAUAGGCAGAUUUGAAGAAGGUAUGGGAGGUAUGUCGAAGUACUCUAGUUUUGUCCCAUAUCCCCCUUAUAUGCCAUAUAUGCCUUAUCCUUAUUACCCACCAUAUCCUAUGUAUCCACCUUCCCCUACUCAUCCAAGUGCAGCACACCCAGAGCCAAAUGACCCAAUACCACCACCAGAACCAGUAGCCCCUGUUGUUGACAGACAUCAACCUAGCUCAUCUGGAGGUAAGGUACAAAUGACAGAGUACUUGAAAUUGGAUGCUCUUAAAUAUAACACGGGAGAUGAUCCAUUUGAAUACCUCAGAUCAGUUAGGAUGAUAACUAGUGAAUUGGGAGCAGAUGAUAGUAGAGCCAUUGAGAUGGCAGGGUUUACACUUAAGUGUAAGAAAGCUCGAGAAUGGUUCAAGAACUAUAUGGAGCCCAGGGUGACCAGUAUGUCAUGGGGAGAGUUCGCCAAUGAGUUUGCAGGGUGGGCUUUUCCUGACAGUUCUCGGGAGAUGAAAGUAAUUGAAUUCGAACAGUUGAGACAGACAGAUGAGAUGAGUGUUGAUGAAUUUACAGAUAAGUUCCUGGAUUUGCUUCAGUAUGUGGGUCAAGCCUAUGAUACUGAUCAGAAGAAGGCAAGGAGAUAUACUAUGAGAUUGCAUCCCAGGUAUUCUUCCUUGAUUCUUCCAGCAGAAAAGGAGAGUUUCCACACUAUAGUAGACGCAGCCAGGAAAAUGGAAGCUAGUGCCAAUAUUCAGAAACAAUCAAAGGCACAGGCUUUGGGUUCUAAAGCCCCCAGUUCAGGCAGCAAGAGAUGGGAUAGAGCAAAAGGAACAAAAAGUAAGUUCUGGAAUAAAGUCAAGUCAGGUCUGGGAAUAGGUAGUGGCUCAAGCUCUGGCACAGCUCCAGUAUGCAGAAGAUGCGGAAAACCACAUGGCAGAGUUUGUCGGUUGGGAUCUACAGCUUGUUUUAGAUGUGGACAGGAAGGGCAUAUUGCUCGGGAUUGUCCUCAGGUGACUUUUGCACCAUCCCAGCAGAUGAGUUCAGGCAGUGUGGUACAGCCAGUUGUACGGCCAGUAGCUCCAGUCAUGCCUCAGAGUAGUGGCAGAGGUAGAGGGAGAGGGGCAGCCUCUACUUCAGCAGCAGGUUCCCGAGGUGGAAAUCCGGUAGCCCCAGCAUGGAUUUUCACUGUGACACAGGAAGAGGCUAACACGUCGAACACAGUGGUGUCAGGUAAUCUCAUCAUUGGGUGUUCAGAUGUGUAUGCUUUGAUGGACCCCGGUGCUUCUCAUUCCUUUAUUGCUUCGAGAGCCAUAGAGAGAUUGGGUUUGAUCAGUUUUGAGUUAGAGUAUCCUCUCUGGGUCAGUGGACCUAAAUGUGACCCAUCAUAGGUAGUGUCAGUCUGUCGUUUCAGUCCAGUGUUCAUAGAGGGUAGAUGCCUUCCAGCUGACCUUGUGGUUCUAGAUUUGACAGAUUUUGAUGUCAUUCUAGGGAUGGAUUGGCUAUCUGCAUAUAGUGCUACCUUGGACUGUAGAGAGAAGAUAGUGAGUCUCAGAGACCAGGAUGGGUCCGAGUGUGUCUUUAGAGGAGACAGGAGAGGUACACCCAGAGGUAUGAUUUCAGCCCUUCAGGCUCGUCGUUUGCUUAGGAGGGGUUGUCAGGGGUUUCUAGCUCAUGUGAGAGAGCUAGACAGUCAGGUGAGGGAACCAGCCGCAGUACCAGUAGUCUGAGAGUUUCUCGAUGUGUUCCCAAACGAUUUACCAGGACUCCCACCUGAUAGGGAGAUAGGGUUUGAAAUUGAAUUGCUGCCAGGUACCAGACCUAUCUCUAUUUGUCCCUACAGGAUGGCGCCAGCAGAGUUAAAAGAGUUAAAAGAACAGUUGCAGGACUUGGUAGAUAAGGGUUUCAUCCGCCCUAGUACCUCACCUUGGGGUGCUCCAGUGCUUUUUGUCAGAAAGAAGGAUGGAUCCCUCAGACUUUGUAUUGACUACAGACAGUUGAACAAGGUCACUACCAAGAAUAGGUAUCCUCUACCUAGGAUUGAUGAUCUAUUUGACUAGCUAGCUGGAGCAGGUUGUUUCUCAAAAAUAGAUCUGAGAUCCGGGUAUCAUCAGUUGAGAGUGAGAGAGGCCGAUGUGCCUAAGACAGCUUUCAGGACCAGAUAUGGGCAUUAUGAGUUCUUAGUGAUGCCGUUCGAGUUGACUAACGCCCCUGCAGCAUUUAUGGAUCUCAUGAACAGAGUGUUCAGUGAGUUUCUGGAUCACUUUGUCAUUGUUUUUAUCGAUGAUAUCUUAGUGUAUUCCAGAGAUGCAGAGGAGCAUGCCCAGCAUCUGAGGAUAGUUCUGCAGACACUGAGAGAGCAUGGUUUGUAUGCCAAGUUCUCGAAGUGUGAGUUUUGGUUGCGGAGCAUUUCCUUCUUAAGACAUGUGGUAUCAGCAGAGGGUAUUGAGGUAGAUCCCAAGAAGAUAGAGGCUGUAGUUAACUAGCCCAGACCUACUACAGUAACUGAGAUUAAAAGCUUUCUGGGACUGGCAGGUUACUACAGGAGGUUCGUUCAGAACUUCUCAAAGAUAGCAGCUCCUAUGACCAAACUGACUCAGAAGAACCAGAAGUUUGUCUGGUCAGACCAGUGCGAGGAGAGCUUUGAGGAGCUCAAGAGGAGAUUGACCACAACACCAGUGUUGGCUCUGCCUAUGAGUAAUGAGGAGUUCACAGUGUUCUGUGAUGCAUCUCGAGUGGGAUUGGGUUGUGUUUUAAUGCAGAGUGAUAGGGUGACAGCUUAUGCUUCUAGACAGUUGAAGAAGCACGAAUUGAAUUACCCUACCCAUGACCUAGAGAUGGCAGCAGUUAUCUUUGCACUCAAGAUGUGGCGGCAUUACCUCUACGGGGUUAAAUGCGAGACCUUCACCGAUCACAAGAGUUUACAGUACAUCUUGAGUCAAAGAGAGCUGAACUUACGGCAGAGAAGAUGGGUAGAAUUGCUCAGUGAUUAUGAUUGUACGAUCCAGUAUCAUCCGGGUAAGGCGAAUGUUGUUGUAAUACCCGGCUGGAGUCCGGCAUCGGAAUUCUACUUUCUGGUGGAGUCCGGGAUGUCGGAAGUCUCUAGAAGGGUUAGAUUUAUGUUUUUCUCAAAUGUUUUGAUAUGUUCAUCAAGUUUUACGCAUAAGGAAAUGAGUUUUUGAGUAAAAUGAACCAAGGCAGAAAAGCCAGGUUCGGCCGCCGAAGUUGAGGUUCGGCCGCCGAACAUGCAUGGCUUUCGGUUUCACGUGUGGCCGCCAAAGGUGGUCUGGCCAGCCACCUAUAAAUGGCCCUCAGUCGGUUGAAGCGGUGCAAGCACCGUUUCUUUUGUCUUCUGAGGUGAAACCCUGUCCUUUGUGAGUAUUUCUUCAUGUUUUCAUGGCAUCAUGCAAAGAUUUGAUUAGUUUUUAUGGUUUUUGGAAGGUUUUAAGCUAAACACUCAAAGAUUUGAAGUUUGNNNNNNNNNNNNNNNNNNNNNNNNNNNNNNNNNNNNNNNNNNNNNNNNNNNNNNNNNNNNNNNNNNNNNCCUGCUGAUGAACUCAGGUUCGGCAGCCGAAGGUACAUUCGGCCGCCGAACCCCUGAGGAGAUGAGAGGAGGUGGCUUCGGCUGCCCAAGCUUGCCCCCGAGCUUUUGGACUUUCGGCUCUGGAGGGAAGUUCGGCCGCCGAAGGUGCCGCCGAAGGUUAGAGACUUUCGUCUCUGGAGUGCCUUAUGGCCUCCGAAACUUGCCCCCGAAAGGAUUCGGCUGCCGAAAGUAGAGAUUCGGCCGCCGAAGGUGCUUGAGUUUCGUCUCUGGAGAGGACUUUCGGCCGCCGAACCUGCCGCCGAAAGUGUCCUGUCCAGCUUUCCUUUGCAUGCUUUGCAUGGAUAGUUGAGUGAGUUUAAGGAGAUUCUUGGGGAGGUUAAUAGAGUUAUGCAUAAACUAGUUUGGUCCCUCAUUUGAAUCCAUCUGUAUAGGUACAGACCAGAGGAACCAGAGAGAGUAGCAGUGAGUACUGCUCCAGAGUUAGAGCCUACAGAGUCAGUCAGUCCAGCUAGCCAGAGGUGAGUGGAACUAAACUGAACUCUUUUAAUUGCACAAUGGAAUGUUUUAGCAUAUCUCAUGCAUCAUGAUUAUGCAAUAGGUUGAGUGCAUUAGUAGCCAUGAAUAUGUUGCAUUGCAUCGUUAUUUGGUGAUGUGAGUGAAUGCUGAAUGAUCCAAUAGUCUCAGACAGGAAGUCCAUGAGCCUUUGACUACGCCUUGGCAGGUAUAGUAAAGUCCAGGAGCCUUUGACUACGCCCUGGCAGGUAUAGUAAAGACCAGGAGCCUUUAACUACGCCCUGGCAAUGGUAAGUACAGAGGUGUUAUAUACACAUAUACAUAUAUGACAGGAAGACCAGGUGCUCGAUUCUACGCCCUGGCAUAGAGUUACUGGGACUAUGUGGUGACAGGUUUACUCUUGAUGUGGAUUGUCUGUGAUAUGGUGCAUUCCAUGAGAUCAUAUUUUCCUGAAUUAUUUUACUGUUCUACUCACUGGGCUAUAGAGCUCAUCCCACUCCCUUAACCCCAGUUAUGCAGGUUCAGUAUACAGUGUAGAAGAGAGGUUCAGCAAGUGCAGAAAGAGAAAAGAAAUAUGUAAUAGCCUAGAGUGGACAUGUAAUAUUAAAGCGAUGUAAUAGUUGUGUAUUAAGUUAGAAAUGUGCUUGACUUAGUGAUGUUUGUUAUGUACAUGAUCUGAAUAUGUGUAUAUGCUUUACUGUAUGUGAAAAACCAGGCUUAACAGGUAUGAGUUACCCAAGGGGGUACAGAGUACAGAGUACAGAGUACAGAGUACAGAGUACAGAGUACAGAGUACAGAGAUAGUGCAUGCACAGGUUAAGCCUUGGUUCAGAAAAGAGUUUUUAUUUUUACAGAAAAUGUAUGAUCAUGUAUGAGAGUUACAGGUACACAGAGAGUAUAGCAGGCUUGCUACAGGUUCUGGCGGCCUUAAGCCGACUUGAAUCCUAGCGUCGGUGACGGUCCAUUUUGGGGUCGUUACAGAUUGGUAUCAGAGCCCUAGGUUCACAUGAUCGGACCUAUAGAGACAAUGUCAGGCUCAUAGAGGUUAAAAGUGGUCAAGCACAAUAGGAAAUCAUGUCCACUAGGAUAGGGUAUUGAGUCCUAUCUGUUUGAUGUUAUGAAAUGCCAUGAUUUAUGCAUGUACAUUAGUGAUAUGUCAUGUUUAUGUGCUAAAGUGCUAUGUUAUAUGCUUUGUUUUCCAGAGAGUAAAGAUGAGAGGAACUCGUCGAUCAGCUCGAUUGACUGGAGUCGCACCAGAGAGUGAGAGAACAGCUGCUCGUCCUCCUGCAUUGCCAAGGGCAAGGUCUCAGAGAUCUAGCAGGGAAGGUACGUCAAUAGACCCUAGAAGGUCUGUAGACGAGAGCAGAAGAGGUACAACAAGAGGAGAAAGAUCAGAGGAAAGGAGGGAAGCUAUGGAGAUUGACCAGUCUAGAGAUGACAGCAUGG
rnacentral:lncRNA from 1 species